AAUAUUGGACAAUGGGGGCAACCCUGAUCCAGCCAUGCCGCGUGUGUGAAGAAGGCCUUCGGGUUGUAAAGCACUUUCAGUGGUGAGGAAAGGGUAACGGUUAAUACCCGUUAUCUGUGACGUUAGCCACAGAAGAAGCACCGGCUAACUCCGUGCCAGCAGCCGCGGUAAUACGGAGGGUGCGAGCGUUAAUCGGAAUUACUGGGCGUAAAGCGCACGCAGGCGGAUUGUUAAGCUAGAUGUGAAAGCCCCGGGCUUAACCUGGGAAUUGCAUUUAGAACUGGCAGUCUAGAGUCUUGGAGAGGGGAGGUGGAAUUCCAGGUGUAGCGGUGAAAUGCGUAGAGAUCUGAAGGAAUACCGGUGGCGAAGGCGGCCCCCUCGGACAGAUACUGACACUCAGAUGCGAAAGCGUGGGGAGCAAACAGGAUUAGAUACCCUGGUAG
rnacentral:rRNA from 1 species